rnacentral:rRNA from 1 species
AGCAGCCGCGGUAAUUCCAGCUCCAAUAGCGUAUAUUAAAGUUGUUGCAGUUAAAAAGCUCGUAGUUGAAUUUCGGGGUCAGUAGAUUGGUCGUGCCACUGGUAUGUACUGGUCUUACUGGCUCCUCCUUCCUGAUGAACCGUAAUGCCAUUAAUUUGGUGUUGCGGGGAAACUGGACUGUUACUUUGAAAAAAUUAGAGUGUUUAAAGCAGGCUAACGCUUGAAUACAUUAGCAUGGAAUAAUGAAAUAGGACGUUCGAUCUUAUUUUGUUGGUUUCUAGGAUUGACGUAAUGAUUAAUAGGGAUAGUUGGGGGCAUUAGUAUUCAAUUGUCAGAGGUGAAAUUCUUGGAUUUAUUGAAGACUAACUACUGCGAAAGCAUUUGCCAAGGAUGUUUUCAUUAAUCAGGAACGAAAGUUAGGGGAUCGAGACGAUCAGAUACCGUCGUAGU